UACGGAGGGUGCAAACGUUGCUCGGAAUCAUUGGGCGUAAAGCGCACGUAGGCGGCCUGUUAAGUCGGAUGUGAAAGCCCCGGGCUCAACCCGGGAAGUGCAUACGAAACUGGCAGGCUUGAAUAUGGAAGAGGGUCGCGGAAUUCCGGGUGUAGCGGUGGAAUGCGUAGAGAUCCGGAAGAACACCGGUGGCGAAGGCGGCCCGCUGGGAUACUUGCUGACGCUGAGGCGCGACAGCGUGGGGAGCAAACAGG
rnacentral:rRNA from 1 species